rnacentral:rRNA from 1 species
AUUGAACGCUGGCGGCAGGCCUAACACAUGCAAGUCGAGCGGCAGCGGGAAAGUAGCUUGCUACUUUUGCCGGCGAGCGGCGGACGGGUGAGUGAUGCCUGGGGAUCUGCCCAGUCGAGGGGGAUAACUACUGGAAACGGUAGCUAAUACCGCAUACGCCCUACGGGGGAAAGCAGGGGGCCUUCGGGCCUUGCGCGAUUGGAUGAACCCAGGUGGGAUUAGCUAGUUGGUGAGGUAAUGGCUCACCAAGGCGACGAUCCCUAGCUGGUCUGAGAGGAUGAUCAGCCACACUGGAACUGAGACACGGUCCAGACUCCUACGGGAGGCAGCAGUGGGGAAUAUUGCACAAUGGGGGAAACCCUGAUGCAGCCAUGCCGCGUGUGUGAAGAAGGCCUUCGGGUUGUAAAGCACUUUCAGCGAGGAGGAAAGGUUGGUAGCUAAUAACUGCCAGCUGUGACGUUACUCGCAGAAGAAGCACCGGCUAACUCCGUGCCAGCCGCCGCAGUAAGAC